CACGUAGUUAGCCGGAGCUUAUUCAUUAAGUACCGUCAUUUUUUCGUCCUUAAUAAAAGAAGUUUACAAUCCGAAAACCUUCAUCCUUCACGCGGCGUUGCUGCGUCAGGGUUUCCCCCAUUGCGCAAUAUCCCCCACUGCUGCCUCCCGUAGGAGCCUGGGCCGUGUCUCAGUCCCAAUGUGGCCGUUCAACCUCUCAGUCCGGCUACCGAUCGCGGUCUUGGUGAGCCGUUACCUCACCAACUAACUAAUCGGACGCGAGUCCAUCUCCGAGCGAUAAAUCUUUGAUAGCGCUGCCAUGCGACUUCGCUAUGUUAUGCGGUAUUAGCAAUCUUUUCAGAUUGUUAUUCCCCUCUCGGAGGCAGGUUACUCACGCGUUACUCACCCGUCGCCACUAAACUUAACCAAUGUCCUUCCGAAGAAUUCCUUCAACUAAGUUCCGUUCGACUUGCAUGUGUUAGGCACGCCGCCAGCGUUCGUCCUGAGCCA
rnacentral:rRNA from 1 species